UUUUUGAAAAUAAUUUAAAGUCUAAUCUGCCCACUGAUGAAAAUUAAAGGGCUGCAGUAUAUUGACUGUACAAAGGUAGCAUAAUCAUUAGUCUUUUAAUUGAAGACUUGUAUGAAAGAUUUAAUGAAAUAUAAACUGUCUCUUAUUUAAAAAUAGAAUUUAAUUUUUUAGUUAAAAAGCUAAAAUAAAUUUAAAAGACGAGAAGACCCUAUAGAGUUUUAUAAUUAAAUUAUUUAAGAUUUUUUAUAUAAUUUAUAGUUAAAAAUAAUUUAAUUAUUAUAUUGGGGUGAUAAAAAAAUUAAAAUAACUUUUUUUUUAUAAUAACAUAAAUAAGUGAAAAGUUGAUCCAUUAAUAAUGAUUAAAAGAAAAAAUUACCUUAGGGAUAACAGCGUAAUUUUUUUUUUUAGUACAAAUAAAAAAAAGAGAUUGCGACCUCGAUGUUGGAUUAAGAUAAAAUUUAGAUGCAAAAGUUUAAAAUUUUGAUCUGUUCGAUCAUUAAAAUCUUACAUGAUCUG
rnacentral:rRNA from 1 species